ensembl:lncRNA
UGUGUAUCAUACAAAAUGUAUUUAUUAAAGCAUAGGCUCCAGAAUAACAACAACAACAACAACAACAACAAACAAACAAACAAACAAACAGACAAAAGGACCGGAAUAUAAGAAAAAGCUGCAAGAUUGCAGAACAUAUCAUGUACCAUAAAAUUGAUAAAGAUUUCACUGUACAAGCUACAGUGCUUUGUUUGAAUUGUUUCACAGCCUUUGCCUCGCAAUAGUUUUAUUAUUAUAUUAAGCACAUUUAAUGAUGGAUACAACAUUGAAUGAAUCUCAAAGGCAUAUUUCCUUAAAAUUAUGAAUUAGCUGCAUUUCACAUGUUGAAUUUAUCUGUCAAUGUAAAAAUGGGUUAGAAAUGUUACAAAUCCAACAAGGCAUAUACAAUUCUACAAUCAUAUGUUCUUUGUUGAAUGAUGGAUGCGCUGUAUUAGAUGAUGAAAUAAUAUAAAAUAAAUUACUUUAAUAUUAAAAUUGUUUUUAUAAUACAGAUCUGAUUGCCCAUCUAUCUAAGAAAUGUUAUCCUAUUGUUUGUUUUUGCCUUAACAUUUAAUUUAAAUGUAUUAGUACUUCCACUAUUUUUUGUAAUUUAUGUGUCCUACAUUAGCAAAGUUGUUUUUUACUUUGGUAAUUUACUACAUUCAGAAGUGUAGCCUAAAUUGACCUAAUUUUAAAAAAGAAUCUUCCACUAACUACGAAUUGUACGUUGUUUGCCAAAAUAGAUACAUUUUAAUUUAAAAUGUUAUUUAUAUCAUUAUUAAAAAUUAUAUUUUGGGAAGUUUUAAAUUAACCUGCCAAUAUCAAAUCGAUAUCAAAAUCUUAAUUUUAGAAUUUCAUAGAAAAUACAUUACUAUAAAAAAACUGCUUUGAUGCAAGCAAAGGUUUGUAUAAAUAUUAGCCUUUUGGUUUCAAAUGCUAACAAUUGUUAGGCAAAUACAAGAUUACCUCACAUGUGUUUUGUUACGUGUGUUUUUUUGAGGCAUGUAGAUAUAAUUGCUUCAAAUGUUAAGAUAUUAAUGAAUAGUUACAGCCCCAAAUUCCAUAUUAGAUGAUCUUAGAUAAUAUGUUUGAUUCCCUAUUAAAAAUAAACGAAUGGCCAACAUCUCUCCAUUUGGAAUUGAAAAUCCAAUAAUACUAUUUGAUUAUAGUGUUUGAACUCUUACCUUGCUCUAUAUUAUUACUGCUGUAGAUUGCAGAAAUUAAAUUCAGGUCUACAAUUCAGAAAAAAGUAAUUUGCAGUACCUCAAAAUUCUUUACAUUUAAAUGAACUAGAUAACCUCAAUCUGGCUGGUCUACUCAUAAAUUAUGUAUGAGUUCUUUAAGCUUUUCGAUUACAAACAAACAAUAACAAAACCACACUCUUUUGCAUAAUGAACUAACAAAUUGCAGGAGUCUUUUUUUCCUUAUCCUGAAACAUAGCUAUGUGGAAUAACGAAAUGAUGAAGUGAUCCUCCAAUCAAUUCUCUGAAUUUAAUUAGAUGUUCUUUCAGAUGGUUAUUUGCCAAGGAUUAAGUGCUUGUGUCUCUUUAGAUUGAAAACAUCUGGUGUUUAUGCUCCCAAAAGCGCAGAUCUCCGUCGCUGCAACGCCAGGAAAGCUUUUACGUGAACAGAGGGAGAUAGAAAAUAGUUCUUGAGAGAUAGGUGGCCGGAGAGCAAAGGUAGAUAUUGCAAGCCACCGAUUAUUUCUGUUAGUUUCACUUGCUCUCUGAAUGUUUCUGGAGCUACAGCUCGACACAUUUGCUAGAUAAGCACUCCAUUACACAUAAAGUUCAUAGCGUGUAUCUGUUUUGUCCAACAUCUGUUCGGAGAAAACAAUUGAGGGAAGUAAACAAGCCGUUCUGUGUGUACUUUCUCCGAAAAAGCUUUCAAAAUGACAAACAUCGAGAGGUCUGGUACUGUUGGGUUUAGCAGACGCAGCAAACUAUAAAAAAAAUUCUUAUUUGAAACCACAUUUCAAGGGCUCCAGGCUUAUUAAAGCCCUGCAGAUGUACAUAUUUGUGUUCUGAAACAACAAAGGGUUCAUUCAUGCAGACACAUGACUACAUGACUACUGAAAGCCAUGUCGUAACUAUUAUUACUAUACUGUCAUGAGCUUUGUAAUCUGGCUUGUUGUGAUUUAGAAAAUUAACACAUUCAUUAUUUAACAUUUUAAGUCACAAUUUGUGGGGAGCAAACAAUUUGUGGGGUGCAAACAAUAUUACAUGUAUCUGUUUCUAAAAGUAAAUUAGUAGUAAAAGAUUUUGAAAUACAAAUAUGAAUUUAAUCUCCCAGACAAAUUACUAACUGCUCAAUCAACCGAUAUUGAUAGAAAAUAGUACAAUUAUUCCCAGACUUCAAAGUUUCAAUCAAAUUUGACAUUUCUCUAUUGAUCAGCCAUCUUCUGUGCGCUCCGGAGACAGUAUUGAGCAGAACAAAUCAAUAAGACAUCUUUGAUCAAGCCCUUUGGGUGCAGACAGACUAGGUCAAAGGUCAAUGCUAUGUGGCUCAAAAGCAACCAAAAGCGAGGAUCUUUUUGCAUUAUCUGAAGUAAUUUUGCAUCAAUUGAACUUUUUCAGGUUUAGGUGGAGUGUGAUCAAUAAUUGGUAGGCAGAAUUAUUUUCCAUUGGACAAUUGAUUUGAUAAAAGCAGGUGUGCCAGCCGAAGCAGAGAUGAUGAUGAUUUCAGAGGGUAAAAGUCAGUUGAUCGCCUCAACAGUACCAAUUACUAUGCAAUGAGAAUCAUAGUUUACUCUUUUUCAUGAACAUGCCAUUGUGGCCAUUUACCUUUACACAACUACAACCAGGGCAGUAAAACAAAGCAAUGGGAAUUUGAAAUUAGAAAUAAAAUACAGGUAUCUUCCUUUUUUAAUUAAGAUUCAGGCACAAGGCUUGUGCAGGUUGAUAUAUAUUACAUUUUUGGAUUUUGUAUAAACUUGCUCCCUUUGUUUGAAAGCCAUACAUAUUUUCUGAGUCCUAUUUAGAAAGGGCACAUGAACACACCUGUUAUCAUUUCAGACAGGGCUGACCCAAUUCUAUUUAUAGCCGGGUGGCACUCCGGAGCUGAGGUGGUACUAUGCAAACAAGGUGGAAAACUUUGUUUGCUAGAAUCGUUCCAUCUUCACCUCCGCAUCCCCAUCUUCCCAAGAACGGCCUGGGAAUACCAGAGGAAAUCUCCUUUGGGAAUCACUGAAAACUUUUUUCUUUAUUUCAAAAGAUAUAAGGGUAUUCUACACGUAAAAAUAAACAGGAGUGAAAAGACGAAGGAGGAAAAUCAAUGAGCAGGUGUACUGUGAGCUAAACGCUGAGCAAGAUAGAUCAAUAGUCCCCUGACAAACAUAAUUCCUAAAAGGACAUUAAGGUAGUGGACACAUCAUUAAUUUAACUGAUUUAAUUAAUGACGGCACCAACAACUAACAACAACUAAGAGCAGCAGAACUUAGCCCAGCAGCGCAUUAGCCUAGCGCCCUAUUUUCCCCAUAACGGUUGAUCUAUAAGGGGCGUGCGGCUCGGGGAAGCACAGGUCGUUUAUCAUCCUCGCUGUCGGCCAUGUUUUGUCCCACUUCGUGUAACUGGAGCAAACAAGCCUUCUCAGCAAAACACGCUGGAUAGCCCAUGUGGUUACCCUAUGCUAUGAGAUUCGUGUUUAAUUUAUAUUUGGGUUAGGUGCAGAACAUAGCAGCGAAUCAAGUUUUAAAUUGAGCAUUUUAAGCAUUUCACAGGUUAGCCAUCAUCUGUUAGGUCGAGGUAAGGACUGCAUCAUAUGGCAGUUUUGUAUAUCAUGAGGAAAACAUUUAUCAAUAUUUAUUGUCCAUAAAAGUGGACCUAAUCCAAGAGGACAGCUCAGCCGUUUGAAUAUAUUACAGGCUUGACGUUAAACCAAUUGUGAACAAUUUUUGGAAGGACACACAGGGAAAAACGUUACACGCAGACGCCAGCAUCCUCCUAAGUACGUUUCCCUGCCGAUUCCUUCAUUAUUCCCAACCUCUAUAGCCUAGCAUUAGCGUUAGCAGCUGAGCCCAAACACAGCAGCUAAUUCCACUCAUUAAGCCAUUAGCAUUUAAAGUGCAGCUUUCUUGACGGAUCGCGAAAACCGAACGACACUCGCCGUCCCGGCGCCAUGGGAACCAGGGAGGUGACGUCGUUCAGAACAACUUACCUCCCCCUCCCGGAUCCACGGAGGCCCCCCUUAGGUCCUCCAGGAACCUGUUCUCUCCCCCCCCCUCCCUCCUCCUUGUGGGAGAUAACCAAAGGCACAUUAUAUCUCUGUUUAUGUCUGCAUUUGAAGUCAUCUUUUGGCGUGAGAGCAAAAGGUGGUCACACUUUGUUGUUGGAAAUUCAUUUUUUACAUUUUGGUCACGAUAAUUUAUCAUUUUUUUAUUGUAACCCACAAACGUUUAGGCUAUAGCUUAUAUUUUGGAUAGUCAAUGUCUUCAAUGUGCUGCUCUAUUCAUGCCUUUGGCUGCAUGGGAGAUCUCAUUGUUUCCUGGUUUACCCUAAUGGUUUAUUAUUCUAUCUGAGAAUCACUAUGUGGUCUUCAAUAGCGUCGCGGUCGUCACCGUUAUUCAGCCUGACGCUGUUGGAGGAACUUCUUUACCAGUGUACGAGGAGGGGUGUUUCGGGGGAGAAAAGAGAGUGAGGGAAGGGGUCAAAGUUGAAGGGGGGGGGGGUUGGUGUUUUGGUGACGACCUGUGGGGCUUCCUACUCCAUGGUGAUGGUGAGUGACAGCUCUUCGUCUCCCAGCUGAUGCAUGGUAAGGGCUGGAGACGACUGAGGUCAGGGUCUGAGGUGUGCAUGGAUGCAGAGGUGUAGGUGUUUCUGUGGACAGGAAUGAUCGUGGUGUCAUAGAGUGGGGGGUGGGGGUGAGAAGAGUGAAAGGUGCCCCCUCGUAACGUUAUGGCACACACUCGAUGAGUCCCACAGGCUGAACGGAUGACGGUUUGAAGUUGGAAAGUUGGAAAGCAGCUGGGAUGAACGGUCAGGCUUUAAGAGAGGCGGGCUGGUAGAGAGGACAGGACGGCUGAUAGGUUUAUCCUUUCUCGGGGGGCGGGGUAUAGCUCUGAAAGAG